rnacentral:rRNA from 1 species
GUAAGUUCCGACCUGCACGAAUGGUGUAACGAUCUGGACACUGUCUCAGCCAUGAGCUCGGUGAAAUUGUAGUAUCGGUGAAGAUGCCGAUUACCCGCAGUGGGACGAAAAGACCCUGUGCACCUUUACUAUAGCUUAGUAUUGACCUUGGAUAAGUGAUGUGUAGGAUAGGUGGGAGACUAUGAAGUGGCGUCGCCAGGCGUUGUGGAGUCAUUGUUGAAAUACCACCCUUUGCUUAUCUGAGGCCUAACCCCAUAUUGUGGGGGACAUUGCUUGGUGGGUAGUUUGACUGGGGUGGUCGCCUCCAAAAGAGUAACGGAGGCUUCUAAAGGUUCCCUCAGUACGCUUGGUAACCGUGCGUAGAGUGCAAUGGCAUAAGGGAGCUUGACUGAGAGACAUACAGGUCGAUCAGGUACGAAAGUAGAGCAUAGUGAUCCGGUGGUUCCGCAUGGAAGGGCCAUCGCUCAAAGGAUAAAAGGUACGCCGGGGAUA